rnacentral:rRNA from 1 species
AGUCGAACGGCAGCGCGGACUUCGGUCUGGCGGCGAGUGGCGGACGGGUGAGGAAUACAUAGGAAUCUGCCCCGUUGUGGGGGAUAACGUAGGGAAACUUACGCUAAUACCGCAUACGACGGCGACGUGAAAGUGGGGGAUCUUCGGACCUCACGCGAUGGGAUGAGCCUAUGUCGGAUUAGCUAGUUGGCGGGGUAAAGGCCCACCAAGGCGACGAUCCGUAGCUGGUCUGAGAGGAUGAUCAGCCACACUGGAACUGAGACACGGUCCAGACUCCUACGGGAGGCAGCAGUGGGGAAUAUUGGACAAUGGGCGCAAGCCUGAUCCAGCAAUGCCGCGUGGGUGAAGAAGGCCUUCGGGUUGUAAAGCCCUUUUGUACGGGAAGAAAGCUUUCGGGUUAAUACCCUGGGAGGAUGACGGUACCGUAAGAAUAAGCACCGGCUAACUUCGUGCCAGCAGCCGCGGUAAUACGAAGGGUGCAAGCGUUAAUCGGAAUUACUGGGCGUAAAGCGUGCGUAGGUGGCUCGUUAAGUCUGUCGUGAAAGCCCUGGGCUCAACCUGGGAAUGGCGAUGGAAACUGGCGGGCUAGAGUGUGGUAGAGGAUGGCGGAAUUCCCGGUGUAGCGGUGAAAUGCGUAGAGAUCGGGAGGAACAUCUGUGGCGAAGGCGGCCAUCUGGACCAACACUGACACUGAGGC